CAGACAAAUAGCUUAGGAAAACUGUACAAGCUUUGGAAAACUGUAAUUUUGAGUUGGUCUGGUGAUCAUUUCCAGGUCUUCUCCCUGUAACCAGUUACAGAAAUAAAAACUCUCCUCCUCCCCAGUUCAUCUGCAUCUUGUUAUUGUGCUGCGCGAAAUAGCAGCCUGACCCUCAGUUUGGCCUGGGAUCAAAAUGUGGCACACAAGCCAGGAAGUAAGGAGAGUGCUGCAUUCAGCAGCUGGCAACUUGCUACGAGACAGUCUUCAGGAGGAUCCCGGCAGCUGCUGGGUGAGGUCUCCCCAAGGACCCUCCAGAGGGCUGUUGUGCGCAAAUCUGCACGUCCUUUUCACUACUGGGGAAAAACAGAGAUCAGGAGCAGAUGCGCUCAAAGGGUGAGUUAACCAGAUUCUACGCCAGGAGCCUACCGUUUUCGUAUCUGGGCUUGGUAAGCCAUUUGUCUGGUACCGCCAAGGGAAGCAAUAAGUCUCGCUCAUAUACCUGCUUUGCAUUUUGAUUGAGAUCAGGUUUUGGGUUGGUUCUGAGUCUGUUUUGCCUGAGUGCACUCCCGCUUGUGUUGUUCAAAAUUUGUCUCCACUUGUUUGUGUAUCUGUCUUAUUCCUUUUGUUACCAUGUAAACUUGAAAGUGGGAGUUAUAGGGUACAUUCCUGCUGAGAGGCCUCUAGGAAGGAUUUUUUUUUUUUUUUUUUUAGGAGUUCAUUGGUGAAAAGUCAGCUUAAUGAAAGCUAACAUCCAAGAUAUGUAUAUGUAUGUGUGCAUGUGUACAUGUUUGUAUUUAAAAGGCCUUCAUGGUUUUGUUUUCAUUUAUCUCCUAGGACCUUGUGUUUUUGAGAAAAGAAGGUGCUCUUGAAUGCAGGUUUCUAAUAACUUUGGAGAUUAUGACAUCGGAAUAGAGGAAAAACAUUCAGGACUCUUGAAGAACUAAAAUAUUCAUUAAUAUCAAGCAGGAUGGGAAUUAACUGCAUGAACUGAACUGAUAGGAGACUGAAGUGAUCUUUUUGACUUUUUGCUUAAAAUGCUGCUGAUCCUUUGUUUUGCUUUUCAGAGUCAAGGAAGCUUUUCUUUUGUGCUACUAACAGCUUUUAACAAUUAAAUAAAGUAUACUCCUAUGAACAAAA